UUUUUUUUUUUUCAGUAGUAGUUUUAUAUAUAUCUGUAUAGUUUUUAUACAUUUCUAUUCAGUUUUAAUUAUUUUAGUACAUCAAAUUAAACUGUUAAAAUGAGAAAUGUUGCCUUUGGCAACUAGCUGAAUUUAUUUUUAUUUUUUAUUUUUUUAUAUUUAAAUUUUUUUAUUCAUUUAACAUUUCAAGGUGAACAGGUCACAAGCUACUAAAUAAAAACAUGUUUUUUGGAAAGUUAAUACUUUAAUUUAAUUUAAAGAACCAUAAAAUUAAUAGGAGGUGGUAAUCGAAGGGUUAUGUCAUUUUUUGUCAACCAGGUCUAGACAGUGUUUGUGUUCAUCUUGUCUUUUUUUCAUUUUCUCUCUUUUUUUCCGAUAGUUUUUAUAGUGUAUUUCUGUUGCGAAUCACUGUUGCCGAGUCUUGCCUCGAGCUCUGAGCCGAUGGUCUGUUGUUAGUGAUGUGGCUUUGAGUGCAGUGUUCAUCAUCAUCAUCAUCAUCAUCAUCAUCACUGGGCGGUGGUCACUUCCCUUUCACCGGAUCAAAGUCACAGAUGCUGUUUCUUCUCGAUCAAAAACAAAUGGCCUCGUGAUUUGUGAGUCCAAAGUCUCAUUCAAACUCGAGCUGGAUUAGAAAGCGCUGCGGUUUAGAGUCUGAAUGUGUUCAUUAAUGCACUAGUGUUUUUGCAUUAUGUGGAGUUCUUGGCCGUCUGAUUAAAUGUCCACAGGCUUCGGACCCUCCGGUGGGACCCGGCUUGAGCCGGCCUUUGUUCUGACCCAGAUCUGGUCCAGUUCUGUCACAAAGGGAAUGACCAAGCACCCUUUCAUGUGCCAAGAGCUAUCUCAACACAAUCCUCACAUGCGUUCCCAGGACGGCACAUUUACAAACCCAAAACACACUCAGAAGAUCCCAGUGUGGAUGAAGUCGUGCUCUUUAUGCUCUGAUCUGGUUAGAUACGUCAAGUUCGCUGAACAGAAGAGCGCAAGGUUUGUGUCGAAUUACGUUGGAUUACUUUCCGUGUGAUUUCAGGACGCUGCGGAUUUGGUCACAUCCAAAGCCCUAAAACGCUGGUACUAUGUACAGUUAUUUGUAUACUGACUCAUUCAGAUGCUGGUUUCUCUUUGUAAACAAACCCCAGAAGAGAUUCUGACUCCACUCUAACACGAGACUGAUGGACCGAACGAGCAAAGCAAUAUGAUAAUGUACAUACAAAUGACAAAAGAAGAUCCUCAACAUUUCAAACUGUCUACCAAGGUGAAAACUGUCAUUAUUUAAUGUAUUAAUAAUUAGACUGUGGUAUUAAAGGGCAUGUGUUUAUUUACAGUGACUUCUUUUUUAGUUACUUGCAUAUUUGCUAUAAUAAAAAAGGCGUAAUAUUCACCUGACGUUUGUUUGUGCUUUUCAUCUACUUUAUAAACAUCAACACUGUCAAUGACAUAUUCAUA
ensembl:lncRNA